rnacentral:lncRNA from 1 species
GCAAAACAUAAAUUACAUUUAUAGCAAUUAUUACUUGGUCGGACUUGUUAAUUUAGAAACAAUUAUUUCCGCCUACCGGUAAAUUGUAAAGCCUAUCACAUAUGUUAUACCUUAGCAUAAUAGCUUUCGCAAAACAUUUUUUUUAACCUCGAUGUUUUAAUACUUCGAAUUUUACCCUUUGGACCAUCACACUUUAGCGUGAUACACCAUCGUACUUUAGCGAACAAACAACCAACGCACUUUAGCGUGAGACACCAUCGUACUUUAGCGUAGACCAUCGCACUUUAGCGUAGACCAUCGCACUUUAGCGUAACCAUCGCACUUUAGAGUACCAUCGCACUUUAGAGUCCUACAAAUAUAC